GCGGGUUAAUUGGCUAAAAUUUGGGGACAAAAAUACAGCGUUCUUUCAUAAACAGGCAACCCAAAAACGUCAAAGAAAUUUUAUCAACAGAAUGGAAUCAGAUGAUGGUAAGGAAACAGAAGAUAUUUCAGAAAUGGAGGAUAUUACCAGGUUGUAUUUCCAAAAGCUGUUCUCGACUGGGAGGAGGGGAAAUUACAACAGAAUUCUGGUAGGAAUUAAGCAAUGUAUCUUCGAUGAGGACAAUCUGAAAUUGAAGGCAAAGUACACAAAAGAAGAGAUCCGUGAGGCACUUUCAGAAUUAGGCUCAACAAAAGCACCAGAAGAGGAUGGAUUCCCAGCAAUAUUCUACCAAAAAUGCUGGUCUAUUAUCGGAGAGGAAGUUUCAUCGUUCUGCCUUAAUCUACUGAAUGGAGGUAUGGAUGUCAGCUCAAUAAACAAAACGAAUAUAAUUUUAAUUCCUAAAAUUCCUAAUCCUGUGAAUAUCAUCAAUUUUAGACCAAUCAGUUUAUGUAAUGUGCUUUAUAAAUUGUUGGCCAAAGUUAUUGCAAACCGUCACCAUCUCGUGAUGAAUAGAUGUAUUGAUUUAGCUCAAAGUGCUUUUGUUCCUGAGAGACUAAUUAGCGAUAAAUUUUUAUUAGCCUAUGAAGUUCUUCACUCUUUGAAGAAUAAAAGAAUAGGAAAAAAAGGGCUUAUGGCAGUGAAACUAGACAUGAGUAAGGCAUAUGACAGGGUUGAAUGGUGCUUUGUUGAAAAAAUAAUGAAGAAAUUAGGGUUUGAUUCAGAAUGGGUUAACAAGUUGAUGAAAUGUGUUUCAACAGUAUCAUAUUCAGUGGUUCUCAAUGGCGUCAAUGGAGAAAGUUUUUUCCCGUCUAGAGGCCUUAGACAAGGAGAUCCUUUGAGUCCAUUUUUAUUUCUGUUUUGUGGAGAAGGACUUUCUAGUCUUCUAAGGCAAGCAACGGAAGGAAUUUUAAUUCAAGGAGUGAAAGUUAGUAGAAAUGGUCCGCAGAUUUCACACUUGUUAUUCGCGGAUGAUUGCAUUCUGUUUAGAGAAGCCACAGAGAGAGGAGCUACUGUUUUGAAGAAUAUCUUAAAGGAAUAUGAGCUCAGUUCUAGCCAAUGUGUUAAUUAUAAUAAAUCCACAAUCUUCUUCAGUACAAAUACGCAAGAGGAAGAAAAAAGAGUUAUUGUUCGAAUGCUCAGUGUUCGUAGAUCGAAUAAUCCAGAAAGGUAUUUAGAACUUCCAAAUUUAGUGGGCAGAAGAAAGAAAGUAGCUUUUCAAAGCUUGAAGGACAGAUUAAAACAAAGAAUUGAUAACUGGAGUGUUAAAUACCUCUCUCAAGGUGGAAAAGAUGUUUUUAUUAAGGCAGUAUUACAAUCAAUUCCAACUUAUUCUAUGGCGUGUUUUUUACUUCCUAAGUCUCUUUGUAACGAGUUGGAAGGUAUAAUAGCCAGAUUCUAGUGGGGGAAAAUCGGGGAAAGAAGGGGAUCCAUUGGUGUGCGUGGAAGGAUGUGUGUGUCUUGAAAGAAGCAGGUGGCCUUGAUUUUAGAAAACUUGAUAAAUUUAAUAUCGCAUUAUUAGCUAAACAGGGUUGGAGUCUUUUUAAUUUUCCAGAUUCUUUGUUAGCCCGAGUAUUGAAAGCUAAAUAGUAUCCGAAUGCGUGUUUUCUAACGGCUCAAUUAGGAAAUUUACCUUCGCUCACCUGGAAGAGUAUUUGGUUGGCAAAAGGUAUUCUUGAAAAAGGUCUCUGCUGGAGGGUUGGCAAAGGGGAUCGUAUUUCUGUUUGGGAGGACCUCUGGAUUUCGGGCAAUGAAGACGACAGAUUGCAAAAUCAUCAGAGAGAUGGAAAUAUUAAGUUAGUUUCGGGUUUGAUUGAUGUAGAUAGAAGAGAGUGGAAAGCUGAUAUAAUUUCUUUUACCUUCAAUGCAGAAGUUGUUAAAAAGAUCUUGCAAAUUCCAUUGGCAGCGACAGCAAAUGAAGAUUUCCAAGUCUGGAGAGGAGAACCCUCUGGCAAUUUUUUGGUUCGGAGCGCCUACAAACUAUUAUAGGAGGGUACUCAAAAUCCUAUUAAUUUACAAACCGAGACUAAAUUUUUUUACAAAAAACUAUGGAAUUUACAAAUUCCCCCGAAAAUCAAAGUUACAAUAUGGGGAAUCUAUUGGAAUUACAUUCCUACUUUUGCAAAUCUGAAGAUCAAACGAACAGUUGUAGAUGCUCGAUGUCCUCGAUGCAAACUGGAAGAGGAGGACUAUAAUCAUAUUUUUCGUGGAUGCUCUAUAACAAAAGAAGUUUGGAGACUUACACAGUUAUCAUGGAUACUUAUUAAUACUCAAGAUACUUUUUGGAAUUGGCUUACAUGGGUUUUUAGUCGCAGGACAAACGAACAGUGCCGACUUUUCUGUUGCGGGCUUUGGAUCAUCUGGACAAGCAAGAACAAAUUUGUUUACGAAAACAGACAAACAACAAGCAGGGAUAUCUCUCAUAAAAUUUCAGAUUUUCUCUCUGAGCUAAGAGGAAUCGAGGAGAAGAAACUUAACUUGGCAGGAAAUGGUGUUCCGCGAACUGUUGGGAGAUGUACGAGAAUCUCAGUUUACUUUGAUGCGGCCUUUGAUCAGCAAAAUGCAAGAUCUGCUUCGGGACUUGUUGUUCGAGGCGAGGGUGGGGAGAUUUUAGUCUCAAAGUCAGUUAUCCAUACCAACAUUGCAACUCCAUUCGCGGCAGAAGCACAUGCAAGGUUACAAGCCUUAGAGUUAGGAAGAUCUAUGGGGCUUAAAGAUUUACAAAUAAUGGGAAAUUCGAAAACGAUUAUCAAAAAGUGUCAAAGUUCAGAACAAGACAGAUCGGUCAUCGGAGCAAUCAUCAAAGAUAUUCAAGAGAUUAAAACCAAUUUUAAUAGUAUAUGUUUUUGUUAUAUUCUGAAACUGAUAAUAUUUUUGCCCAUUUGGUUGCAAUAGAAGCUUUAAAGAAGGGAGAAGAACAUUACCUGGCUGGGGCGAUUCCAAAUACUGUCCGACAAGCAGUGGAGAGGAUGAAUCCAAGAUAUUAAGAUUAAGAGCAAAAAGGUGACUGUUGGAAGGAGUAGCAAACGGAAAAAAAGAUUUGGGGAAAUCUGCUACUAUUAAUGGUUGGGUCGGUGAUGGGAAAUGAAAAGAUAAUGGAGGCCAGCUGUUUCUGAUCAACUGAGAUUUCUAGAAGCAUU
rnacentral:lncRNA from 1 species